AACGAACGCUGGCGGCAUGCCUAACACAUGCAAGUCGAACGAGACCUUCGGGUCUAGUGGCGCACGGGUGCGUAACGCGUGGGAAUCUGCCCUUGGGUUCGGAAUAACAGUUGGAAACGACUGCUAAUACCGGAUGAUGACGUAAGUCCAAAGAUUUAUCGCCCAGGGAUGAGCCCGCGUAGGAUUAGCUGGUUGGUGGGUAAAGGCCUACCAAGGCGACGAUUCUUAGCUGGGGUGAGAGGAUGGUCAGCCACACCGGGACUGAGAAACGGCCCAGACUCCUACGGGAGGCAGCAGUGGGGAAUAUUGGACAAUGGGCGAAAGCCUGAUCCAGCAAUGCCGCGUGAGUGAUGAAGGCCUUAGGGUUGUAAAGCUCUUUUACCCGGGAUGAUAAUGACAGUACCGGGAGAAUAAGCCCCGGCUAACUCCGUG
rnacentral:rRNA from 1 species